rnacentral:rRNA from 1 species
UACGAAGGGGGCUAGCGUUGCUCGGAAUCACUGGGCGUAAAGGGCGCGUAGGCGGCUUAUCAAGUCGGGGGUGAAAGCCCGUGGCUCAACCACGGAAUGGCCUUCGAUACUGGUAGGCUUGAGACCGGAAGAGGACAGCGGAACUGCGAGUGUAGAGGUGAAAUUCGUAGAUAUUCGCAAGAACACCAGUGGCGAAGGCGGCUGUCCGGUCCGGUUCUGACGCUGAGGCGCGAAAGCGUGGGGAGCAAACAGG